UGGAAAUGAGUAGGAGCAGUUUGGUC
rnacentral:piRNA from 1 species